UGUGUGUGUGUGAAAAAAAAUUAAAUUAAUUCACAUUUUGAGGCAACAUAAAUGCAUAGACUCCAGUACCUCCCAGUAUUCGGUAUUUGUAGAGACAUUAUAGACCGUUUUUUUUUUCAAAUAUAUUUAAAGUUCGUAAUGGGUACUAUGGCCUCUGACAAAAAAUUCAUGUAAAUCUUCCUAAAUUUACGCGGAUUAGCCACAUAAAUCAAUAUAAUGCUCUUAAUCAUCGUAUAGUCUAAAUGCGCUCUUUAGCUGCUAUCAGACCUGAUAUAUGUACUGUCACUUUUAUUAUCCAUGUGUGUUUACGUGUGUAUGCCAAAUUUUUAUUUUGCAUAUGUCUCAUAAAUCUUGCUACCACACACUUGCAUAUGUUUCUUUUAUUUUCUUUGUUUACAAUCAAGGUGUAUUUAUAAGAUGUAUGCAUCGUCUACAGAAACUAACAUUUUACAAGAACAACAUUGUUCUUAUAGAAACUAAGUCAUUUUGACAAUUAGUUUAUUAUAUUGCAUUUUCUAAACAUUUAUACUACCACCAACAAUUAAUAAGGUGUAAUACCCAGCUAGCAUUUGGAAGAUUGUUUUUGAAAAAAUCACUUUGGUGAGUCUUCUUCGAGUCCUUUUGGGGACCAAAAAAUGAUUAACUGACUUGUAUGAUCGAAAAGCGACUCAAAAAUGACUCUCUCUAAUGAGUGAAAAGAGAUCAGUUUAAUAUACAACAACAAAAUGUAGGGGAAUCACCAAUCAAUUAUUGAGAUGUGCAAAAUGUGACUAUUUUUCCAUUAUUUAUUAUCGUAUUGCCAUCAUCUAGAGAUUGAAAAAUGAUUAGCCUUAAAAAGAUAUUGCAGCUGUAUGAAAAGUGAUCAAAAUUAUGUAUUUUUAACAUGUUUUGCACAGAUAAGUGCAUAAAUGCUGUUUGUUAUGUUAUGCAAGCGUCAUUUGUUUCUGGAGUGACUAUCAACAAGUUGAAUUAUUGUUCGUUUAUAAAAAGUGCAUGGAGCCGUCUACAGCAAAAGUGUAUAAUAUUGAAAAUGAAAAUAGGGUUGCCAACUGGCAGAUAAAAGUGAUGUCAAUAUCGAGUUUACAUAUACAACAAUAAAGAAAAUUUAAGUGUCAGAAAGUUAAAUUACAAAAAUAGAAAAGGCUAAAAUAAAAAGGAUGGCAGAAAAUUUAAUUUUGCAAAAAAGAAUUAAAACUGAAUAUGAGAAAAAUUAAGAGAAUGUCCAGGAACGUGAAUUAUUGCAGCAAAAUGAGACAGAACUUGAACAAUUUAAAGAGUUUAUUACAAAAACCGAAAGAUUUUUUUUGGAUAAAUUAGCCCGCCAAUACAGCUGGAAGUGGACCAGUGUAAAUCCGAGUGCAGAAAAGUAUUAUUUAGUUACAGUAAUCAAAAGAAAGUUUGUCUUUUUAACACGUAUAAAAAGAAUUAGUAAAAUGGACAGACUUGUACUUAUUUUAUUUCAAAUAUUUGUCGUCUCAAAUGCAAGCAACGACAAGGAUAGGAACACAUUUCUUCAGAAACAUUUUGUUCAUGCUAGGGACCGAGUUACGAAAAAAAAACGAUCCAAUUACAGUACCUUUUUUACUUUACUUCUUUUUUCCAAGUCUAGAAAAAACGGUAUUUACUGAAAUGAAGAAUGUUGUUUCUAUUACACAUGAAAAUGAACACAAAAUUAAAUAAACUUUUUUAUAAACAUGUAUGAACAUAUUCUUUUUUUCAUGGUACAUCCGAAUAUUUAGAAAUCACGUACGUAAUUCGUAGAAUCGUAAACUCAUACAAGACUCAUAAAUGACUCGAAUUUAAGACAAAGGUGACUU